rnacentral:rRNA from 1 species
AUUAAGCAUAUCAAUAAGCGGAGGAAAAGAAACCAACAGGGAUUGCCUCAGUAACGGCGAGUGAAGCGGCAACAGCUCAAAUUUGAAAUCUGGCCCCAGGCCCGAGUUGUAAUUUGCAGAGGAUGUUUCUGGCGAGGUGCCUUCCGAGUUCCCUGGAACGGGACGCCAUAGAGGGUGAGAGCCCCGUACGGUUGGUCGCUAAGCCUCUGUGAAACUCCUUCGACGAGUCGAGUAGUUUGGGAAUGCUGCUCUAAAUGGGAGGUGUACGCCUUCUCAAGCUAAAUACCGGCUAGAGACCGAUAGCGCACAAGUAGAGUGAUCGAAAGAUGAAAAGCACUUUGAAAAGAGGGUUAAAUAGUACGUGAAAUUGUUGAAAGGGAAGCGCUCUUGACCAGACUUGCGCCGGUUGAUCAUCCACCGUUCUCGGUGGUGCACUCUGCCGGCUCAGGCCAGCAUCAGUUCGGUCCGGGGGAUAAAGGCUUCGGGAAUGUGGCUCUCUCCGGGGAGUGUUAUAGCCCGUUGCGUAAUACCCUGGGCUGGACUGAGGUUCGCGCAUCUGCAUGGAUGCUGGCGUAAUGGUCAUCAGUGACCCGUCUUGAAACACGGACCAAGGAGUCGUCUUCGUAUGCGAGUGUUCGGGUGUCAAACCCCUACGCGUAAUGAAAGUGAACGUAGGAGAGAGCUUCGGCGCAUCUCCGACCGAUCCUGAUGUUCUCGGAUGGAUUUGAGUAAGAGCAUACGGGGCCGGACCCGAAAGAAGGUGAACUAUGCCUGUAUAGGGUGAAGCCAGAGGAAACUCUGGUGGAGGCUCGCAGCGGUUCUGACGUGCAAAUCGAUCGUCAAAUAUGGGCAUGGGGCGAAAGACUAAUCGA